rfam:Ictidomys tridecemlineatus contig031566, whole genome shotgun sequence.
UGGGUUGUGGCUCAGUGGUAGAGCACUCACUAGUAUGUGGGAGGCCCUGGGUUCAAUCCUCAGUACCACAU